rnacentral:tRNA from 1 species
GCCGCCGUAGCACAGCUGGUAGUGCGCCGGACUCGUAAUCCGGUGGUCGCGGGUUCGAAUCCCGCCGGCGGCUCCA